rnacentral:piRNA from 1 species
UAAGAUGCCAUGCUCUGGUUGUACCUUC